CGCUGCGCUGCGCUGCGCUCCGGCCGCUCCCGCGGCCCGUGGAUGGGGGUGUCCGGCUGAGCCCCGGGAUCCUCCUCCCUCCGCCAGGACCCGCACAGAUAAACUCAUCCUGAAAGUCGCUGUUGUUCUCCUGCUGAGCAAGAAUGGAGGCCCCACUGGUGAGCCUGGAUGAAGAGUUUGAGGACCUUCGACCCUCCUGCUCCGAGGACCCGGAGGAGAAGCCCCAGUGUUUCUAUGGUUCAUCUCCCCACCAUCUCGAGGACCCCUCCCUCUCCGAGCUUGAGAAUUUUUCUUCCGAAAUAAUCAGCUUCAAGUCCAUGGAGGACCUCGUGAAUGAAUUUGACGAGAAGCUCAAUGUCUGCUUUCGGAACUACAACGCCAAGACCGAGAACCUAGCUCCCGUGAAGAACCAGUUACAGAUCCAAGAGGAGGAGGAGACCCUUCAGGACGAGGAGGUUUGGGAUGCUCUGACAGACAAUUACAUCCCUUCACUCUCAGAAGACUGGAGGGAUCCAAACAUCGAGGCUCUGAAUGGCAACUGCUCUGACGCUGAGAUCCAUGAGAAAGAAGAGGAAGAGUUCAAUGAGAAGAGUGAAAAUGAUUCUGGUAUCAACGAGGAGCCUCUGCUCACAGCAGAUCAGGUAUAAGUAUCUCUCCAGGUUAUUGGGACCUUUUGUUCUUUUGAUAGAGAAAAAGUUCAAGAGAACACACUUGCCACAUCCAUUUAAGGCAGAAGAAAGAUAUGUGGUCAUGUGGUGCCUGUGCUCAUGACUCAGAGUAUUUUUCGUUUCUUUUUUUCUUUAUAUAUAUAUAUUUUUGAGACAGAGUCUUGCUGUGUUGCCCAGGCUGGAGUGCAGUGGCAUGAUCUUGGCUC
rnacentral:sRNA from 1 species